UACGGAGGGUGCAAGCGUUAUCCGGAAUCACUGGGUUUAAAGGGUGCGUAGGCGGCGUUGUAAGUCAGAGGUGAAAGCCCACAGCUUAACUGUGGAAUUGCCUUUGAUACUGCAGUGCUUGAAUCAGGUUGAGGUCGGCGGAAUGUGACAUGUAGCGGUGAAAUGCAUAGAUAUGUCAUAGAACACCAAUUGCGAAGGCAGCUGGCUAGACCUGUAUUGACGCUGAGGCACGAAAGCGUGGGGAGCGAACAGGAUUAGAUACCCCUGUA
rnacentral:rRNA from 1 species